GUCCUUUAUCGAGCCCAUCUUUGCAUGAAAUGGUCCCUUGGUAUCUAAUUUUCUUGAAGAGAUCUCUAGUCUUUCCCAUUCUGUUGUUUUCCUCUAUUUCUUUGCAUUGAUCGCUGAGGAAGGCUUUCUUAUCUCUCCUUGCUAUUCUUUGGAACUCUGCAUUCAAAUGGGUAUAUCUUUCCUUUGCUCCUUUGCUUUUUGCUUCUCUUCUUUUCACAGCUAUUUGUAAGGCCUCCUCAGACAGCCAUUUUGCUUUUUUGCAUUUCUUUUCCAUGGGGAUGGUCUUGAUCCCUGUCUCCUGUACAAAUGUCAUGAGCCUCCAUCCAUAGUUCAUCAGGCACUCUGUCUGUCAGAUCUAGUCCCUUAAAUCUAUUUCUCACUUCUACUGUAUAAUCAUAAGGGAUUUGAUUCAGGUCAUACCUGAAAGGUCUAGUGGUUUUCUCCACUUUCUUCAAUUUACGUCUGAAUUUAGCAAUAAGGAGUUCAUGAAGUGAGCCACAGUCAGCUCCCUAUCUUGUUUUUGCUGACUGUAUAAAGCAUCUCCAUCUUUGGCUGCAAAGAAUAUAAUCAAUUUGAUUUCGGUGUUGACCAUCUGGUGAUGUCCAUGUGUAGAGCCUUUUCUUGUGUUGUUGGAAGAGGGUGUUUGCUAUGACCAGUGCAUUCCCUUGGCAGAACUCUAUUACCCUUUGCCCUGCUUCAUUCUGUACUCCAAGGCCAAAUUUUCCUGCUACUCCAGGUGUUUCUUGAUUUCCUACUUUGCAUUCCAGUCCCCUAUAAUGAAAAGGACAUCUUUUUUAGGUGUUAGUUCUAAUAGGUCUUGUAGGUCUUCAUUGAACUAUUCACUUUCAGCUUCUUCAGCAUUACUGGUUGGGGCAUAGGCUUGGAUUACUGUGAUAUUGAAUGGUUUGCCUUGGAAACGAACAGAGAUCAUUCUGUCGUUUUUGAGAUUGCACCCGAGUACUGCAUUUCGGACUCCUUUGUUGACUACAAUGGCUACUCCAUUUCUUCUAAGGGAUUCCUGCCCACAGUAGUAGAUAUAAUGGUCAUCUGAGUUAAAUUCACCCAUUCCAGUCCAUCUGAGUUUGCUGAUUCCUAGAAUGUCAACAUUCACUCUUGCCAUCUCCUGUUUGACCACUUCCAAUUUGCCUUGAUUCAUGGACCUAAUAUUCCAGGUUCCUAUGCAAUAUUGCUCUUUACAACAUCGGACCUUGUGUCUAUCACCAGUCACAUCCACAACUGGGUAUUGUUUUUACUUUGGCUCCAUCCCUUCAUUUUUCUGGAGUUAUUUCUCCACUGAUCACCAGAUUCAUAUUGGACACCUACCAACCUGGGGAGUUCAUCCUUCAGGGUCCUGUCUUUUUUGCCUCUUCAUACUGUUCAUGGGGUUCUCAAGGCAUGAAUACUCAAGUGGUUUGCCAUUCCCUUCUCCAGUGGACCACAUUCUUUCAGACCUCUCCACCAUGACCCGUCCGUCUUGGGUGGCCCCACAUGGCAUGGCUUAGUUUCAUUGAGUUAGACAAGACUGUGGUCCAUGUGAUCAGAUUGGCUAGUUGUCUGUGAUUGUGGUUUCCAUCUGUCUGCCCUCUGAUGCCCUCUGUCAGAACCUACCAUCUUACUUGGGUUUCUCUUACCUUGGACGUGAGGUAUCUCUUCACGGCUGCUUCAGCAAAGCACAGCCACUGCUCCUCACUUUGGACGUGGGGUAGCUCCUCUUGGCCGCUGCCCCUGACCUUGGAUGUGGGUCUAGCUUUGACUAGAUAUACCUUUGUUGGCAAAAUAAUGUCUCUGCUUUUUAAUAUGCUGUCUAACUUGGUCAUAACUUUUCUUCCAUGGAGCAAGCAUCUUUUAAUUUCAUGGCUACAGUCACCAUCUGCAGUGAUUUUGGAGACCCCCAAAAUUAAAGUCUGUCACUGUUUCCAUUGUUUCCCCAUCUAUUUGCCAUGAAGUGAUGGGACCAGAUGCCAUGAUCUUAGUUUUCUGAAUGUUGAGUUUUAAGCCAACUUUUUCACUCUCCUCUUUCACUUUCAUCAAGAGGCUCUUUAGUUCUUCUUCACUUUCUACCAUAAGUGUGGUGUCAUGGGCAUAUCUGAGGUUAUUGAUAUUUCUCCCAGCAAUCUUUAUUCCAGCUUAUGCUAGCUCAGUCGGUAAAGUAUCUGCCUGCAAUGCAGGAGAACUGGGUUUAAUUCCUGGUUUGGGAAGAUCCCCUGGAGAAGGAAAUGGCAACCCACUCUAGUAUUCUUGCCUGGAGAAUCCCUUGGACAGAGGAGCCUGGCAGACUACUGUCUAUGCGGUCGCGAGAGUUGGACAUGACUGAGCGACUAAGCACACACA
ensembl:lncRNA